rnacentral:rRNA from 1 species
AACGAACGCUGGCGGCAUGCCUAACACAUGCAAGUCGAACGAGACCUUCGGGUCUAGUGGCGCACGGGUGCGUAACGCGUGGGAACCUGCCCUUAGGUUCGGAAUAACUCCCCGAAAGGGGUGCUAAUACCGGAUAAUGUCUUCGGACCAAAGAUUUAGCGCCUUUGGAUGGGCGCGCGUUGGAUUAGCUAGUUGGUAGGGUAAUAGCCUACCAAGGCGACGAUCCGUAGCUGGUCUGAGAGGAGGAUCGGCCACACUGGGAGUGAGACACGGCCCAGACAACUACGGGAGGGAGCAGGAGGGAAUAUGACACAAGGGGCGGGAGCCUGAUGCAGCAAAGCCUCGUACAGGAUGACGGCCUUCGAGUUGUAAACCGGUGUCGCGUGAAACGAAGCGGGAGUGACGGGAAUGGGUAAAGAAGCACGGGGGAGCUACGUG